UUAUCCUUACCUCUCAGGCAGAGUCAGGUGGUAGUGUGUUUCCAAUACAUUCUUGUUCUCUCUCAACAACGCUCUAACAUCAAACGCAGACGGCAACGCAAUCAGGUGAACAGUUCAUGUUUAAUUCCAUGACUUUAUGAGAAGGAUUACAAUGAAAUCUCAGAAGAUGCAGAAAAAAAUUUCAAACAUAUUUCAUGUAAACUUAAUUUACAAUCACUCUGUGGGGCCAGAGUUGUCUAUUAUGUUGUCCUCAAGGGGGAAGCCAGAGUCCUGCAUGUGGGCGGGUGCAUGCAGGUGAACCGCUAAUAUUCGAUGUAACAGGUGGAAUAAUAUUUAUGUGUAGGGUUUGGUGUGGGUGCGGGCCGGACGGUGACAAGCACAGGUGGGUUGCGGGGUCCAAUAACCAAGACUAUUUCGACUCGGUCCAGUACACGCUGAGCAAUGUAGCCAAUCGCGCUGACACUAAUUGACAGCUGUAGUGAUUAUAUUAAAGGAUGCACUCUUUGCUUGCUUUCUGUGUUUAAUCUAUUCACAAUUUGAAUAAAAGUUUUAAUAAAUGAGUUUUGUCUACCUCAUGUAGGAGAUUUAAUGCAGGUGUGGUUCGGGUCCCAGUUUUUAUGUCAAAUGGGUUGGGUAUGGGGUUAAAUUAGUGCUGCUGUCCGAUAACGUGUCGGAUGUUCUGUUAAUUACUGCAAUUGUGGGAAGAUCAUUUCACCAGCCAGGAAAGGUGAAAGAAAAUGCCUCUCUGUGAUGUUACCACAAGGCAUCGUUUACUUACAGAUCUCAGGCUUCUGGAGGGGAUGUAGAUUUGUAAGAGUAGGAGGGUGCUCAGCCUGUGGCUGUUCUGUAUGCAAACAUCAAUGUCUUGAGCUUGAUGCUAGCUGCAAACAGUAGUCAGUGCAGAGAGGU